UCCCAGCAGCAGACCGCCCGCGCGCGAGGGGAAGGGCCGCCCCGUGACGUCAUCGCGCGCCCUGAUUGGCCGCCGCUUGGCAUCGGCCUCCAUUUUGUGCGCUGGUUUUUAUUUCGCCUGCGUCACAGGGACGGAGCGUCUGUGUAGAUACAAUGAGCUGCCGUGUAUUCAUUGGUCGAUUAAGCCCUCAUGCCAGAGAGAGAGAUGUGGAGAAAUUCUUCAAAGGAUAUGGGCGAAUAAAAGAAAUUGAUCUGAAGAAUGGGUUUGGGUUCGUGGAAUUUGAGGAUCACAGGGAUGCAGACGAUGCUGUUUAUGAACUGGAUGGUAAAGAACUGUGUAGUGAAAGAGUUACAGUUGAACAUGCAAGAGCACGACCUAGAGGAGGGCGUGGAGGAGGACGAUACCAGGGUCGCUUUAGCCCACGGCGCCCACGUAGUGAGGCAAGGAAUGGACCUCCAGUUCGCACAGACAACAGACUGAUAGUUGAGAAUUUGUCUUCAAGAGUUAGUUGGCAGGUAUGUUGCAUAUAACUAUACUUAAUUCUGUUAAUUCAUCUGUCAUAAUUAAAAUUUGUUCUGAGAUGAAAAAUAAUGAAUCUGACAAAAGAGCUAAUGGUUAGCUGCAAGCAGGAAGUAAAGCAAGUAGGUAUGUUAUAUAUUGCUGGUGAAGACCUACAUACAGGAUAGCCAAAAUCUGCAAAAGCAAGCACUGCAAAAAUGUAACUGAAAUUUGCCUUGUCUGUGGAAUGAGUGGAAUUAGUUAAUGGUUUUACAAAGUUUAAUGCAAAAUGGAUUUGUGUGUGUGCAUGUGUGUGUUUAUGGGGCUUGGAGGAGGAAGAAGGAAGUGGGGUGGUAUUAAUGUGUAUAAUGAAAGAUUAAUUUUAAGCAAAUUGAUUGGCACACAAAGGUGCAAUUUUUUUUAGAUGGUGCUGUUAUUUAUGUUUUCUUCCUAGUGGUAUCUUGGAUCUUUAGGAAACUGCAAAAACCUCGGCCUGCCUUUUAUGUAAAAUCUUGUCAGGUGUGCUUGUUUAAUAUAAUUACUCAUUCCCAAAUUUGCCUUUUAACUGUAUGUGAAAGUGUUCGUAAACAUUUAUUGUAGUGAAACGAGCCUUUAUUGUAAAUGUUGUCCUUCAGUUUCCAUUUUUCCGAAGCUGAUGACUUAAUACUGGAUUUGAUUCCAUGGUGAGCACCUGCUCCACAAUCCUAUCAAUCUUAAAUAAGGCUGGGUAUUUAAAGGAUAUUUCUGCUUUGCACCCAAUGCCAAUCUUGACAUUUUUUCGGCCAUAUGCAUGUGCCAACUAGAAAUUGUGGAAUAGUGUCAGGGUUCAACUCUAAUGUAGAUUAGCUUUUUCUUUCUUAAUACGACUAAGGUUGGCUAAAGCCAACCUAUUUGAAAUCCUCCAUUAGUACUAUUAAGAGCCCAUGACUUCCUUUUUGGAAAUAGUGGUUGGUCAUUUUUAAAUAUUAAAGGCAGUGAGGGUCAUUUGUGCAGACAAUUUGCCAAAGCUAAGCCUGAAUUCUUGACUCCUGGAAGGAAUGGUAGCAAGGAAAAUUGAUUCAAAUAUGUACAAUACUGAACUUUUUAAAUUGUCCAUUUACAAGAUUUUCAUAAUACUCUAGCUUCAAGAAUAUUUAACAAUGACUCUGUGAUUUAAGUAAUUUGUCUUUGAAAGCCAUUAGUUUGACAUUUUUGCUUGGUUCUGUGUUGAAUUGUGUACAAACCUUUUAACCAAAUAUUAAAACCUUUAUUUACCAGCCUCUCGUAUCGUUGGCCUUGUGACGAGUGACGUUUUCCUAAUCGCUCUGGCUUGGUCUCUUGGUGGGCCUAGUUGAAUUGCCAGUCCUACGUUUCAUUCAGUUGGUGAUCUGUAUUAUGCUGGUCUGACCAACAUUGGUGGGCACUAGCUUAAGUGCUCGGGUUCGUUCCUGCGCCUCUGAAAAUGCUGGUAACGAAUUGUCCUAAAGUCAAAGUGUGAGAGCUGUCUAAACUAAGGUCCUUGAUUGAAAGAAAUACGCUAGUAGGUUUAUUUGGAAGCUCGAUUUGGAGUGAGUGAGGCGUCCUUGAUAACAACACAAGAUUUAGCAAUUCCUGUUCCCAUGGCGCCGCCAAAAUCCACCUUUAGGAUGGGUGAUGUCCGGGAGGGCUCACGUGGAGCAGGUGCUGAAGAGCACUAUCGUGUCGUCAGUCGUGAUGAUACCUCUGCAAGUUCUUCUUGCAUUUGCCUGGUUGAAUAGCCUAGGGAAUUGUGCGGGAAGGUAAUAAAUUUUAAUGAAUUAGCUUUGGCUUCAUUUGUAGUGAUUUUAUAAAAGACAGUGGGUGUAAUGCAUGUGAUUUUCUAACCUAAUUUAUUUUAUUUUAUGUAGGAUCUGAAGGAUUACAUGAGACAGGCUGGAGAAGUUACCUUUGCAGAUGCACACCGGCACAAAAUGAAUGAAGGGGUGGUUGAGUUUGCCUCAUACAGUGAUAUGAAGAAUGCAAUUGAUAAACUGUCUGGCACAGAAAUAAA